UUGCCGUGACGACCAUUUAGGACACCUUUGUACAACCCAUGAAAAGAAUACAUCAUCUGAGCAGU